rnacentral:rRNA from 1 species
AUGAACGCUGGCGGCGUGGAUAAGGCAUGCAAGUCGAACGGGUCGCAAGACCAGUGGCAGACGAGGGUAGUAAUACGCAGGUACGCACCGAAGAGUCGGGCAUAGCUAGCCGAAAGGUUAGGUAAUUCCCGAUAGUCUCUCCGGAGUAAAGGUUUUUUCGCUCUUUGAGCGGCCCUGCGCGAUAUCAGCUUAUUGGUUAGGUAAUGGCUGACCAAGGCUAUGACAUCUAGGGGAGCUGAGAGGCUGACCCCCACCGAUAGCACUGAGACACGGGCUAUACACCUACGGGUGGCUGCAGUCGAGAAUCUUCCACAAUGGACGAAAGUCUGAUGGAGCGACGCCGCGUGGUUGAUGAAGUCCUUCGGGACGUAAAGACCUUUUAUGGGGGAGGAAGUAAUUGACGUUACCCCAUGAAUAAGGGGCUCCUAACUCUGUGCCAGCAGGAGCGGUAAUACAGAGGCCCCAAGCGUUAUCCGGAAUCACUGGGCGUAAAGGGUGUGCAGGCGGCUUUGUUAGUCUCUUGUAAAAGCAUUUGGGCUCAACCCAGAUACUGCGAGGGAAACGGCAGAGCUUAGAGGGCGCGAGAGGUAGAGGGAACUCAUAGUGUAGGGGUGAAAUCCGUUGAUAUUAUGGGGAACACCAAAUGCGAAGGCACUCUACUGGCGCGUUCCUGACGCUCAGACACGAAAGCGUGGGAAUCGAACGGGAUUAGAUACCCCGGUAGUCCACGCCCCUAAACGAUCACAACUGGCUUUACGGAGUAAUCGACCCUCUGUGAGGCGAAGCUAACGCGUUAAGUUGUGCGCCUGGGUAGUACGAUCGCAAGAUUAAAACUCAAAGGAAUAGACGGGGACUUGCACAAGCGGUGGAUCAUGCGGCUCAAUUCGAUGGCAAACGAAGAAACCUCACCAGGGUUAGAAAUGGAGACGACAAUCCGGGGAAACUCGGACUUUCGCAAGACGGCUCCACAGGUGAUGCAUGGUCGUCGUCAGUUCGUGGCUUGAGUUGUUCCCUUCAGUGGGGUAACGAACGCAACCCUCGUUGCCUGUUUUAUAUGUCAGGCGAGACUGCCCCCUCACGGGGGAGGAAGGUGAGGAUGACGCCAGAUCAGCAUGUCCCUCUGAUAUCCUGGGCUGCACGCAUGAUACAAUGCACUCGACAACGGGUCGCGACGGGGUAACCCUGAGCCAAUCCUUUAAACGAGUGCCCAGUUCGGAUUGAGGUCUGCAACUCGACCUCAUGAAGCCGGAAUCGCUAGUAAUCGCGGGUCAGCUAUACCGCGGUGAAUACGUUCUCAAGUCUUGUACUCACCGCCCGUCAACUCAAGGGAGCCGGGAGUACCCGAAGCCCAACCUCGGUUGGUCCACGGUAAGCUCGGUGACAGGGAGU